AUACUUUCUGGCUCUCGUGUAUAUUAAAGAUUUUUCACUGUGUCUGCCUUUAAUAAGAACGAAAAAAAAAACCAUCUACAAAAUAGAAAAUUAAGAAUUUGGAAUUUAUUGCUUGUGGAAUAACAAGCGAAAUUGAAAUAUUAAAAAUCUACGUUAGAAUUGAAACGAUCAAAUUCACAAAAAUCAAAGUUUAACGGUGGCCCUUCGAGCGAGUUGAGGCCAAAGCAAACGACAAAAAUCUGUGUGUGAAAAUUGCGAUGUUUUUAAAGAAAAUACGGGCUAUGACACCUCAUUUACUACAUUGCCCCGAAAGAGGGAAUGUGUUGUGAGGAGGACUCAUGCAGAGUUGAGCCAACGACAGACGAAAAGAAAAAGAGAUUUAGUUUAUUGGAAAGUGUUUUGACGCACACACAAACAUUGUGGAGAAUUUGCUCUUGUAAAUUUCGUUUUGAUGGAUUAACAAAAAAUAAAUAAACAAAAAUCGAAGUAAUAGAUCGAAAGAGAGUAAGCGAAUCCUCGAUAGCGAAAGUGCCAAAAAGGAACUGCCUAGCAUUAACAUCUUCACAGAUAGUUCAGCGAACAGCUCUAAUCAUCAUAAAAAUAGAAACGAUGAACACUUCAUUGAACUUGAUGUGUUAGUUUGGUUGGUCGGUUGGUCACUUAAAAUAAACAAGACCUUCAUUAAGCUGUACAAGCAACAUUUAAUAAGCGUUCUUGUUACUCCUCCAAUCCAAAGCGAUCGCCACCUCCAUCUAUGCCCCCCCGUACCGAUGCCAUUGGUGAGAGGAGGUUGUUCGUUCGAGUGAAUGAGUUUUGUAACGAAAAUAGAAAUCUAUUAGAUACGAAAAUACACAAAACACCAAUAGUAAUAAUAAUAAUAAUAAUAACAAAGGCAGAAAGAAGAACGCACACAAAACCAAAAACAAAAUUAUUGUUGGCGGUGGCACUGACGCUGCUGGCUGCCAGUCAUUGCCAAUUGUUCUUCGACUUGCUUUAUAUCUCGUGUUAGCUUUGCGAGAUGUGCCGACGAGAUGUAUUCUCACCUUAGAUUGCUGUUGCUGCCGCUGUCUUCUUCUUCAAUCUGAUUGUCUGAUCACGAGGAUGACAUUGGUGUUAAUACCUAACGGCGAAGACGAAAGGAAUCGUUAAAAACGAAUGAAUCGCGACAACACCCAUGGUCAUAGGCUUUCCACUAAAUGUCCACAUUAGAAGUGUGUGGGCAAUGCGAGAGUCCUACCUGACGACCGGCCCAAACGAUCGAUCGACCACGCCAACAACAAAAACGAGAUAAACACAGCUACCGAUAGCCGCCAACGUCAAUAAAACACUAAAUCUUGGCACUUCUUGGAAUAAAUGAAACUACUUAAAAUCUAAUAAAUGCUAAUCUUUGGGAUUAUAUUUAACAACCAGACAGUGUUUUAAAUAUGAAUGCCAGACUAGGAGGCGCCUCCUCUUAUCCUUUUUUGAGGGAACGCAAACACGACUACCUGUGGGCCGCAUAUAGUCAAUAGAUUUAGUGAG